GACGAACGCUGGCGGCGUGCUUAACACAUGCAAGUCGAACGAAACGGUCCUGCCUUUUUGGGGAGCUCGAGUGACGAACGGGUGAGUUACACGUAGGUUCCCUGCCAUUGCCUUUAGGAUAUCCUAAGGCCACUUGGGGUAAUCCGGCAUAGGAUCUAUUGCUGCUUGGUGGGCCUUGGUUAGUUUCGGCGGUUGGGAAUGGAAUCGCGGCUCAUCAGCUUGUUGGUUGGGUAGUGGCUUACCAAGGCAUUGAACGGUAGCAGGGCUGGGCGGGGGACCGGCCACGUUAGAACUGGGAUACGGCACAGACUCGUACCGGAGGCAGCGGUGGGGAAUAGUGCACAAGGGGCUGAAGCCUGACGCAGCAACGCCGCGUGCGGGAUGACGUCCAGCGGGUUGUAUUCCGCAUCCGCCUGUGACGAAGCGUUAGUGACGGUAAUGGGUAAAGAAGCACCGGCUAACUACGUG
rnacentral:rRNA from 1 species